GAACGCUGGCGGCGUGCCUAAUACAUGCAAGUCGAACGGCUUUUCUAUGGAAGCUUGCUCACUGAAAGAUAGCGGCGAACGGGUGAGUAACAACGUGGGUAACCUGCCCAUAAGAGGGGGAUAACAUCCGGAAACGGGUGCUAAUACCGCAUAGUUUUCUUGAUCGCAUGAUCGGGAAAGGAAAGACGGCCUUUGUGCUGUCGCUUAUGGAUGGACCCGCGGCGUAUUAGUUAGUUGGUGAGGUAACGGCUCACCAAGACGAUGAUACGUAGCCGACCUGAGAGGGUGAUCGGCCACAUUGGGACUGAGACACGGCCCAAACUCCUACGGGAGGCAGCAGUAGGGAAUCUUCCGCAAUGGACGAAAGUCUGACGGAGCAACGCCGCGUGAGUGAAAGAAGGUUUUCGGAUCGUAAAACUCUGUUGUCAGAGAAGAACAAGUUGGAGAGUAACUGCUCCAGCCUUGACGGUAUCUGACCAGAAAGCCACGGCUAACUACGUGCCAGCCGCCGC
rnacentral:rRNA from 1 species